rnacentral:lncRNA from 10 species
UUUGAGCCAGGAUGAGCCAGGAGAAGGAAUUUCACAAGAUAAUGUCAUCAGUUAAGGCAAGAAUAGGCCAUUUUCAUUUCUUUUGUGGUGGAAUGUCAUCAGUUAAGGCAGGAACCGGCCAUCUGGAUGUGUACGUGUAGGUCACAGGAGAUAUGAUGGCUUAGCUUGGGCUCAGAGGCCUGACAUUCCUGUCUUCUUAUAUUAAUAAGAAAAAUAAAACAAAAUAGUGGUGAAGUGUUGGGACAGCGAAAAUUUUGGGGGAUGGUACGGAGAGAUAAUGGGCGAUGUUUCUUAGGGCUGCUUCGAGCGGAAUUAGGGGCGGUGUGGGAACCUAGAAUGGGAGAGAUUAAGCUGAAGGAAGAUUUUGUGGUAAGGGGUGAUAUUGUGGGACUGUUAGGAGAAACGUUCGUCAUUUAGAAUUACUGGUGAUGGCCUAGAUACGGUUUUGUAUGAAUUGAAAAACUAAAUGGAAUAAGAGAAGGAGAAAAACAGGUAUUAAAGGACUAAGAAUUGGGAGGACCUAGGACAUUUAAUUAGAGAGUGCCUAAGGAGGUUCAGCAUAGUUCUGCCAGCAAAGAUUAUUUAUUUACUUCAAGAGUUAAGAGUGGCAGUUUGGGGAUAGCUCCAGGAGAUAUCAGCUGUGAUGGCUUGGAGAAACAGUGUAAACCAGCAGUGUAAACAAGAGCAGGGCAUGUGUGAGUAGUUGAGAACAGUGAAUAGGAGUAUGAUUAGACAGAAGAUAGUAGGGAUGACAAGUUUUUUGGGGCACAGUCCAAGUUGGUCUUGGAAUGAUACUGGGGCCUAAUAAAAAGGAGCAUCUAUACAGGAGCUUAAAUGAGCUGUACCUUGUAACAUUCUGAGGACAGGCCUGAAUUCUGAGAAGGGAAAGUGGUAAAAGUAUUGUCUAGUCCUUUUUAAGUUGGUGGCUGAGCUUGGUGAGGUGUGUUUUUAAAAGACCGUUAGUCCAUUCUACCUUUCCUGAAGACUGAGGACCGUAAGGGAAAUAAAGGUUUCACUGAAUACCAAGAGCCUGAAAAAAUGCUUGGCUGAUUUGACUAAUAAAGGCCGGUCUGCUAUCAGACUGUAUAGAGGUGGGAAGGCCAAACCGAGGAAUUAUGUCUAACAGAAGGGAAAAAAUGACCGCGGUGGCCUUCUCAGACCCUGUAGGAAAGGCCUCUACCCAUCCAGUGAAAGCGUCUACCUAGACUAAGAGGUAUUUUAGUUUUCUGACUCGGGGCACGUGAGUAAAGUCAACUUGCCAGUCCUGGGCAGGGGCAAAUCUCCGAGCUUGAUAUGUAGGAAAGGGAGGAGGCCUGAACAAUCCCUGAGGGGUAGUAGAAUAGCAAAUGGAACACUGAGAAGUGAUUUCUUUGAGGAUAGAUUUCCAGGAUGGAAAGGAAAUGAGAGGUUCUAAGAGACGGGCUAGCGGCUUGUAACCUACAUGGAAGAGGUUAUGAAAUGACGACAGAAUAGAAUGGGCCUGUGAGGCUGGAAGGAGAUAUUUUCCUUGGUCUAAGAACCAUUUGCCUUCUGUGGGAAGAGAUUGAUAGGUGGAAGUUUCAGUGGGGGAGUAGGUGGGAGUGACUGACGUGAAGGAGAAAAAC